GACGAACGCUGGCGGCGUGCUUAACACAUGCAAGUCGAACGGAAAGACCCUGCUUUUGUGGGGUGCUCGAGUGGCGAACGGGUGAGUAACACGUGAGUAACCUGCCCUUGACUUUGGGAUAACUUCAGGAGACUGGGGCUAAUACCGGAUAGGAGCUCCUGCUGCAUGGUGGGGGUUGGAAAGUUUCGGCGGUUGGGGAUGGACUCGCGGCUUAUCAGCUUGUUGGUGGGGUAGUGGCUUACCAAGGCUUUGACGGGUAGCCGGCCUGAGAGGGUGACCGGCCACAUUGGGACUGAGACACGGCCCAGACUCCUACGGGAGGCAGCAGUGGGGAAUAUUGCGCAAUGGGCGGAAGCCUGAUGCAGCAACGCCGCGUGCGGGAUGACGGCCUUCGGGUUGUAAACCGCUUUCGCCUGUGACGAAGCGUGAGUGACGGUAAUGGGUAAAGAAGCACCGGCUAACUACGUG
rnacentral:rRNA from 1 species